rnacentral:lncRNA from 1 species
UGACACGCCUGCGCGCGUGCACCUCGGCCCUCAGCUUCUCCGGGCUGAGACACGCCUGCGCGCGUGCACCUCGGCCCUCAGCCUCUCCGGGCUAAGACACGCCUGCGCGCGUACAUCUCAUUGCUUCCGUGAGUAUCCCCCCCCGGUAGCGUGUUUUAGUUGGUCUCUGUUACCCUAAAGCACGCGAACUAGGCGGCCCUUGCUCAGUCCCUCUCACAGGCCGGUGUGUCGAUGUGUCCGGCCCUUGGGCCCUUCUCUCCCUACCCCCUCCCCACGGCCAGCCGGCAUGCCCCUGAAACGCCAGCCUGGUGCCGUGUUUGUCCUCUUGGGGGCAGCCACCGCUCAGGCAAGAGACGGCCCAGCCCCGGCGCAGCUGCAGCUGCCCUGGGCCUCUCCUCUUCGACCAGGGCAGGCCUGGCGCCCUUUGAAGGGACAGUGGCUUGGGGACCAGCCUUCCCCCAAGAGGAGACUCCGGCGUGACUCCGUUUCAGCUCGGGUCUCCCCCGCCUCUCCAGGGGGCUGUUCGGGGGCCCCCCCGGGCCUGGCCUCAGGGACCUGGCCUUCAGGCCUGGCCCCCUGAGUACGGGCGGUGGUGGAAGCGUAGUGGCGGCCACUGUUUUCGAGACCCUCUGCUCUGCUGGGGGGCACGGAGCGUGCAGAGCGGGGUCCUUGCUGCGAGGGCUGGGCUGGCUGGACAGGUCGCACCCAAGCCCCGCGGCUGGGGGCAGUCAGAAGGCGGGCGGUUGGCCGGGCGGUCCUCACGCAGCAGGAAGGGCAGGUGGGGGCGGGGGCCCCGGGGGGGUGAGCAGGAGGGGCGCCGCCUGGCCCCGACUCCCGUCCCUGCGCCAGCGGGACAGAGCUGCCACCGGGUCAUCUGGCCUCCCGGGGCUGCAGGCUCAUCCCCGCGUCGUGCUGGUAUUUUUCAUCCUUUCUCUCUUGCUCUCAUUUUUUUUUUUAAUAAAAAUAACUAUGAAGGGUCCAAGACGCCUUUCUUUCUCGACAUCCCAGCCCUGAGGUCCCAG